rnacentral:rRNA from 1 species
CCUACGGGGAGCAGCAGUGAGGAAUAUUGGUCAAUGGACGCAAGUCUGAACCAGCCAUGCCGCGUGCGGGAAGACGGCUCUAUGAGUUGUAAACUGCUUUUGUACGAGGGUAAACGCAGAUACGCGUAUCUGUCUGAAAGUAUCGUACGAAUAAGGAUCGGCUAACUCCGUGCCAGCAGCCGCGGUAAUACGGAGGAUUCAAGCGUUAUCCGGAUUUAUUGGGUUUAAAGGGUGCGUAGGCGGUCGGAUAAGUUAGAGGUUAAAUCCCGAGGCUCAAAUUCGGAAUUGCCUCUGAUACUGUUCGGCUAGAGAGUAGGUGCAGUAUGCGGAAUGUAUGGUGUAGCGGUGAAAUGCAUAGAGAUCAUACAGAACACCGAUUGCGAAGGCAGCAUACCAAGCCACUUCUGACGUUGAGGCACGAAAGCGUGGGGAGCAAACAGGAUUAGAUACCCUUGUAGUC